UUUUUAAGAGUUGUACUUGCAAUUUUUAUUCAUUGUUGGCUGUUUACCAGAAGGCAGCAGCAGCAACAUCCUACAGGUUUUGCCAGACUGCUUCACAGAGUUACAAAUUCUGGUAUACACUCAAAUUGGGCAACCACUGCUACUAAAGAUUAUACACAAUCAACAGACAAUUCUUCAGACUCCAUCUUUCCACUGAUAUUUACUUACAGAAAGGAAAUAUAUAUUAUACACAAACUUUUCUACUGACAUUGAUUACUGUAUAUUGUGUUUCAUGCAUAUGUGAUGAGGAACGACUGGAUCUGACUGUUUUCUGCAUUUUGUGGCAUAAUUCAAGAUCUGCGUAGCUGUACCAGAGUGACGUUGGCCAGGCGCCCGAGGACACCUGCCCACGCCUGCUGCUGACUCUCUUGCCUCUUCUCACGGACCUGGUAGGCUGAAUAGAUGAUUCCCAAUAUGAGUGUCUCAAAAUGAUCCUCAUUAAAGGACUGUGCUUCCUCUUCAAGCAUGACAAGCAGUUCCUCCAUCGCUGGCACAGUUUUAGGUAUGUCAUCAUUUAUAAGGCUUAAGAAAACUCGUCCCUGCCUCAUAGACGCCAUUUCUUGGUCCCGCAUUCCAACAUUGUUGUCUUCAUCAAUCACAAGUCCACUCAGUAAAAACUAGGAUGAACAGAGUGGUGUCAAUUAAAUAUUUUCUUAUAUAUCCUUUAACACUCCAGUAUUCUUCUUAACACACCUUAAUAAACUUUGCCUUCUCAUUUGUCUUGGAGAAUCCUCAUGACCAUGUUCCAGUACUUUACUAGCUGAAGUUAGAUAACCCCUGGAGACCCGAGGAAUUGAGCCUACAUUACUUUUUUACAAUUAAAAAAAACUUGUCUUUUAGUUAUGCAAGUGCUCACUCGUGUGACUUUCCAGUCAAUGGAGGCAAUGGAUGUUAUAAACAGUAUUGGAAUGUAAAAACUAUUUUAAAAUGUAUGCAGUACAGUGUCUAAUCCUGAAAUAUGUUCUUUAAUUUUAACAUUAGCAUCACUUAAUGGUAUUAAGAUCCUACCUCAUAUAGCAAGUCGGCAUCCCUGACAGUGGUGAUUAAAGUUGGGUGUUUUCCCGGGGAAAUAGCCAAUGUACCUGCACACAAGGUUUAUUUAUUAAAUCUCUUUUAAACUGUUAAACUUCCAUGAGGCAGUCAUUCAUAAAUGUCAGAAUUAAGGAACUUCAAAAACAUAAACAUGAAUAAAUAUUUAAUGCAUAAAUAACUAAAUUGACACCUGCUAUUUCCUUUGAUCAGUGAAAUUAAGUUAUUUGUCAAUGAUUCAACCCAUUUCUGCCCACAAGGUCAGUGGACAUAUUAUUUAGUAGGGGUGUAUCAUAAAUCGAUUAUCAUCAAUUAUAACUGAUUAUAAUUAACAAUAAAUCUAUCGCUACCUAAAAACAACAGACAACUGGAGUGUAAAAAAUAAUUCAUGUUUUUAAACUGGUAUGUAAAUAGGCUAGCAAGGUUGUCCAUAACUCUGACACUUAAAAUAGUCCUUCGUUGUCAUCAUCAUUCAUGAAUUAGUGAUAGUUUCUGAACAAAGGUGGUCACAUAUCGACCACAGGCUACUAUCAUAUCAAAUUCAGUGGUCUCAUUAAAUAUCAAACCAUUGCCUUAUGAAUCUAAACCAUAUCACAUCACAGCAGAUUCAGUGGAAUCAUCAAAUAUAUUGUAGAAUCAUUGUAUUUAAAAUGGAAAAGUUAUUGUGAAGCAUGGAAGCUUGAGAUUUGCAUUUUGUAUUAUUUAGUACAAUAGUGAGCCCAGUAUCACACCUUAACUUAUGAAUGAAUGGCAUCACAGAAGUUACUUUUGUCCAAGACAAUUUAGGACAUAGGGUGUUAGUUAGUUAGUUAGUUAGUUAGUUAGUUACAGUUACAUUUAUACAGUGCUUUUCUAGACACUCAAAGCACUUUACAGUGUAUAGGGGAAAUCUCCUCAACCACCACCAGUGUGUAGCAUCCACCUGGAGGAUGUGACAUUAGCCAUAGUGCACAAGAACGCCCAUCACACAUCAGCUAUUAGUGGACAGGAGAGGAAAGUGAUGUAUAGACAAUAGAGGAUACAGCUCGUUUUGUGACUGUACGUCAUUCCCUUCAAAUGCUAUUGAGCUGUAAAUUAUGGUAUAUUUUCUCUAUGAGCCCAUUCCGUAGUGAAAUACAUGGCAAUUUUUACAUAUGAUUUCAUAGUUUAUUUUAAUAAAUAUCACAAAUUUAAAAGGUGUGCAUCAUACCUAACACCUAGCUGAACACUUUACAGUUGUUUUUAUGACUGUACGUGUAUACCAAUGUCGUAUGUAACUUUAGAGACGGUCCGUUCAUUUGCUCAUAUAUUGAGAAUAUCGAUCGUCCAACAUCAAGCCAACUUUAUGCCAGUGAAUUUCGCCAGGACACCGGGGUAUUCUCCUGAUAGGGUGGUAUUUCUUGGGACACCGGGGUAUUCUCCUGAUAGGGUGGUAUUUUUUCCAAAGAAAAUUAUUACUAACUAGAAAGAUAUAGAUACUAAAUUCACUUUUGUCAUUAAUAUAGCAUAAACCCCUAAAAAUCAAAGUCUCUCCUGGACAAAAAAAAGUAACAAAAAUGCAGUCAGUAAAGUUGAAGUUCAGUGCGUGAUGACAAAUGGCUGAGCCAACACUUGGCUGGAUAACUGGGCAAUGGAAUGCUAUGAAUGCAGAACCAGUUUCAUGGAUGUGCAGCUUUGUUUCUAUUUUAAAAAACAAUCCCCCAGGUUUAUACGUUGUACCAAAAUCUGUGCGUGUACAAGGUGCACAAAUACAACAAGCUACAGGUCGUCAAUACAUUGAUUUUUCAAAUCCAGUCUGU
ensembl:lncRNA